rnacentral:lncRNA from 1 species
CGGUGGUGCAUCCUUCUGGGACCCUCAGAGUUCACCUGGAGCCCUCCUUUUCUCUGCUGUGCACCUGUAGGGUGCAGGGGCCAGGCGGCCACCUGAGGGGAGAAGCUGCCCACAGUCCACUCACUCCACUUGGUGAAAUUUGCAUGUUACUCUUCGGCUGGUGACUGCUCACCCCAAAUUCGACUUUGAGAGCCGCCCACAACCCAACAGCCCUGAUGCUGUACUGCGACUGAGCUUCACACUGGCCCAGGAGGACCUUUUCCUCAUCCUUCCAGCCUACUUCAAAGAUGCUGCAGACGAUCACUGUUUACUGUUCGAAGCACAGGUUCUGAAUCUCAGCGCCCAUGAUUUUCCGAGUCCCCUGAGGCCUUUCUACUGUUGCAUGAAGCCCAUGUGUCGGGAGCCGGUGAGAGAAACCUCGCCCGUGACAAGGUCUGGGUUCAAGGAGCUGGCACGCAAAGGCAUCCGGACCUCCAAGACCGCUCCACACGCAAAGGUGUCCGGACCUCCGGGGGUUUCUCGAGACCGUCCCACCAUCCACUCCCAGGCCUUCGUCCUUUCAUCUUCUGAUGCUUGGCGUUCUUCUAUGGUCCCUAAAAACUAGUCUGAUUCUUACCUAAAAUCCCUCCUUGAAACCUUUGCAUGGCAGCAACACAGUCCCUGGGGGCACACGGGUCCCAAUAAACAGGCCUAUCUAUCCCAUAAGCAAAAGUAGAUAGAGUCCAUUACGAGAUUGAGAAGAUUCCUUAGGGUGUGAUCAGGAGGGAAUUCAUGAGACCUCUGACCCUUUGGAUUACAUACCAGAGCUCAGUCUGCCCGGGGCUGAGCUUCCCAAGAUAAGGUUUGUAGAUGGCUUUUCACAGUUGACUAGCUGCUGCCGUUGAAUUGUUUAAAAGUUAUGUGUAGGUAUUGACUGUUCUGGAAAGUUAUUUAUGAUGUAACCCAUGAUUAUGCACCUGGUACAAUCUUAUCAUUCCCCCCUCCUUAAACCUCUUUAAAGGAUUAUUGGUUUUAGGGUAUAUAAGCACUGAUGUAAGAGAAUAAAGUAGUCUUGAUUCUGC